rnacentral:rRNA from 1 species
AGCGAAUAGAUACCCGGGUAGUCCCAGCUGUAAACGAUGCAGACUAGGUGUUUGGACGGCCACGUGCCGUUCUAGUGCCGCAGGGAAGCUGUUAAGUCUGCCGCCUGGGGAGUACGAUCGCAAGAUUGAAACUUAAAGGAAUUGGCGGGGAGCACCACAAGGGGUGAAGCUUGCGGUUUAAUUGGAGUCAACGCCGGAAAUCUCACCGGGAGCGACAGCAGUAUGAAAGCCAGAUUGAAGGUCUUGCUAGACGAGCUGAGAGGAGGUGCAUGGCCGUCGCCAGUUCGUGCCGUGAGGUGUCCUGUUAAGUCAGGCAACGAUCGAGACCCGCGUCCUCUGUUGCAACCAGUUUUGUACUGGGCACACUGAGGAGACCGCCACUGAUAACGGUGGAGGAAGGAGCGGGUCCACGGCAGGUCAGUAUGCCCCGGAAUCUCCCGGGUCCACACGCGAGCUGCAAUGGCAAGUACAAUGGUUCCGACCUCGAAAGGGGUAGGCAAUCUCGAAAGCUUGCCGUAGUUGGAACUUGAGGG